CGUGUCAGUGAAUGUAUAACGAGGCGAACAUCUUAAAACCUUUCUCCAGCUGACUUGUUGGGGCUUCGGGUCGAUGUAAAAACCUUGGCCAAGCACUGCAAGCACCUAAUGUAAAUGAUAUUUGUAUUGGAUCGGAAACAAUCGAGCCGCUUUACCCCGAACGCGGAAGCUGAGGUGCAAAGAGCCCAUUUGGCUGCUUGAAAAUAUUCUCAUGGAAUGUUUCAAAAUGAGCAGCAUGGCUAUUAGACCAAACUAAUACUUAAUCCAUCCAGUCUUGUUCUAUUGGUGUAGAACAGCCAGAAAGAAUACUUCUGAAACUGUUACUGAAUAUAAAAGGUGUUCAUCAAAAUUGGAGAAAACUUUAGCAUACACCAUGAACGUCUUACAGGAAAGCAAACAAGUUUUAUGCCUUUGAUCUGUAGCCCUCUUCUUUAAAGAAAGAAAAAAAACUUAUGUAACAUGUUUCAUUUGAAAGUGGUACCUUUAAGUGUUUAUUCAGAUAUGUUUGUUAAUUCCCAUAUUUUGUCUGUUCUUGAACUGCUCACUGGAAAGUUUCUCUUUUCUCUUAAUGUGAUUGAAUGAGCAGCUGCCCGUCUCACGAAGUUGACCAAUUGCGACAAACUAAGGCAACGUAAUGUAACCUUAGGGGGAGGGACCUUUAUUAGGCAGGUUGAUGAAAAGAAGUUAAUAUUGAAAAAGAUAUGGGGUGUAAUGGCGGCGCUUCACGGAAGAUUCUUAAAUGAAACAUGGACGCUGUUCCUUUAGCUUGAGCGGAAGCGUUGUGCUCAUAAUGGCCUUAUGUUUCUGCACCGAAUUCUUGAUAGACUUUGAUGGGCUGCCAGGUACCUCUGCACCAGAAGCCUGGUAGACUUCACUCAUUGCAUGAGGUUCAUCUCCAUCCCAUAUGCAGACAACGGACUGAAGAAGCCUGAAACUUCAUUGGUCUGGACAAAAGGGGGUUUGCGUCGGAUCAUCUAUCAUGACUGUGGGUUUCUAAGGUAACUGAGAGCACACAUUAGGAAAACCACACCUAUGAGCUCCAACAAGCGCGCAAAUAAAGUAGUACAAUCAGUUAGUCAUAAAGGACUAAAAAUCCCGGGGCACUGUUGAUUUAUAGUUCUUAUAGGGAAAUCGGAAGUGGCUGAAUCAGUAUCUGCAGGUCAGAGAUUCUGAAGUGACGAUAAAAAAUAUGACCUCAAAACUUAAGAAUAAUUUGUUUUAAAGGAGCUCCACCGCCCAAAGUUAUCCAUUCUCAACCAGCCUCUAAGUUUAUGCACUACAACACGGCCGGCCAUUCACUGACGUGUUUGUUGAUUCUUGCAAGCUUGAAUUCCACCCUCCAUUGAGAGUCUUCCACCAGCAUCUGGGUCCCUGCAUCAUUUGUUGGCAUUACCUCUUGCGUGCGUAUUAAUAAAUGGAAGUCAGCCUGCGUGUGUGUGCCUGUGUGUGUGUGUGUGUGUGUGUUUGCAUUUAUCCAAAGGGUGGGACAGUUAGUGCGGGAAACGGAGACUGCCUGUUCCUGUAGUGAGGUCAGCAUGUUGCCAUGAUCCACUUCCGCUCCCCCAGUAGGACUUCUGGUCCAAACACGGCUGGGACAUACAGAGAAUUUCUUAUUACAGCAACACUGACACUUCAUUCUGUAUGCAUAUGAUGUCAAAUAUAAAUGUGCUAGGGUUAGAAAUGUUCCAGCUGUGCUAUGAUGUGUAGUAAGUAUUUGACUUUACCCAGGGUAAUGCUGUUGUCCGAACAAUCUGAAAUUCUUCUCUUAGCUUCUACUAAGUUCGAAGGAAAUCCUUCUCAUUCACGCCGUUUUAAAGAUGGGAAUGAAUAGCCACUAGUGUUGAUCUACAACCAGAGUAACUGCAUGUGCCUCCAGGGAACGUCAACCAGCCUCUGUUUCAGCUUCCUGGUUGGCAGUGACCAGAGGGUGUCCCAAGUAAACACAACCAUCAUGUGCCAUCAAACCUCUCAGUUACACCCCGUAAUUACAAAUAUAGACUACCGACUG